CAGUUAACCUUCUCAGAGUGAGAAAAAAAGAAUGAAAGGGGAAAAAGACUAAUUAAUUGCUUCAUCAUAAGGAAUUGUUCAAUCGAGAAGUGACAUGGAAAAAUGCAUCCUCGUUGCAGGGUAUUGUGAGACCGCCCAUUGAAUGUUGGAAUCCAAAUUCUUCCUCAGCUUUGUGAAGCAAUUCCUGGAACGAACUGUGAUUCAGGUCAGUUGUCCUUGUGGACUAUAUAAUUUAUGGCAUGUGAAAAAGGGCCUACUUCACAUGGUGAGUAUUUUAUUUAACAUUUACAAUUUCCAAUUGAUUGAGUAAUAUAGUGAUGAGGGUGGCCAUAAAGUGGUAAUAUAUAUACCACUAUGCUCCCAUUGUUUCCACUUUUGACAAAUACAAUAUGCAUAUUUAUCCACAUUAUAUUUUUCUACCAAAUUGUAACUCCCAUGCUGCCUUAUUGUUGUUAGAGGUUCUCCACGAAAGUGCAAGUCCUUACAAGUACAAGUAGUUUCUGAAGUCACCACGUAUAUAUUUCUGUUUUCCAUAGUUGUGAAGCCAUUAUUUUAUUGUCUAAUAUCUUCACAAUUUGUGUCAGCUUAUGGCACAAUAAAGAAUUCUACCCUUCUGCUCAA